GAUGUAGCUCAGUUGGUAGAGCACGAGACUCUUAAUCUUUGGGUCAUGGGUCCGAGCCCCAUGUUGAGCA